rnacentral:rRNA from 1 species
AACGCUGGCGGUGUGCUUCACACAUGCAAGUCGAACGAGGUAGCAAUACCUAGUGGCGGACGGGUGAGUAACGCGUGGGAAUCUGCCUUUAGAUGGGGGAUAACGGGUCGAAAGACUCGCUAAUACCGCAUAUGACGAAAGUUGAAAGGAGUAAUCCGUCUAAAGAUGAGCCCGCGUCCGAUUAGCUAGUUGGUAGAGUAAAAGCCUACCAAGGCGACGAUCGGUAGCUGGUCUGAGAGGAUGAUCAGCCACAAUGGGACUGAGACACGGCCCAUACUCCUACGGGAGGCAGCAGUGGGGAAUUUUACGCAAUGGGCGAAAGCCUGACGUAGCGACACCGCGUGAGCGAAGAAGCCCCUUGGGGUGUAAAGCUCUGUCAGCUGGAACGAAAAAAAUGACGGUACUAGCAGAGGAAGCAUCGGCUAACUACGUG